UUGGAGGGCAAGUCUGGUGCCAGCAGCCGCGGUAAUUCCAGCUCCAAUAGCGUAUAUUAAAGUUGUUGCAGUUAAAAAGCUCGUAGUUGAAUUUCGGGAUCAGUAUGUUGGUCGUGCUUCGGUACGUACUGUCAUUACUGGUUUCUCCCUUCUGAAGAACCUUGAUGUCAUUAAUUUGGUGUCUUGGGGAAUCAGGACUGUUACUUUGAAAAAAUUAGAGUGUUUAAAGCAGGCAUACGCUUGAAUACAUUAGCAUGGAAUAAUGAAAUAGGACGUUUGAUUCUAUUUUGUUGGUUUCUAGGAUCGACGUAAUGAUUAAUAGGGAUAGUUGGGGGCAUUAGUAUUCAAUUGUCAGAGGUGAAAUUCUUGGAUUUAUUGAAGACUAACUACUGCGAAAGCAUUUGCCAAGGAUGUUUUCAUUAAUCAAGAACGAAAGUUAGGGGAUCGAAGACGAUCAGAUACCGUCGUAGUCUUAACCAUAAACUAUGCCGACUAGGGAUCGGAUGAUGUUAUUUUUAAUGACUCAUUCGGCGCCUUACGGGAAAC
rnacentral:rRNA from 1 species